rnacentral:rRNA from 1 species
CGGGAAACCGGAGCUAAUACGAUAAUAUUUGAACCGCAUGGUUCAAAGUGAAAGACGGUCUUGCUGUCACUUAUAGAUGGAUCCGCGCUGCAUUAGCUAGUUGGUAAGGUAACGGCUUACCAAGGCAACAAUGCAUAGCCGACCUGAGAGGGUGAUCGGCCACACUGGAACUGAGACACGGUCCAGACUCCUACGGGAGGCAGCAGUA